rnacentral:rRNA from 1 species
GAUGAACGCUGGCGGCGUGCCUAAUACAUGCAAGUCGAGCGAACGGACGAGAAGCUUGCUUCUCUGAUGUUAGCGGCGGACGGGUGAGUAACACGUGGAUAACCUACCUAUAAGACUGGGAUAACUUCGGGAAACCGGAGCUAAUACCGGAUAAUAUUUUGAACCGCAUGGUUCAAAAGUGAAAGACGGUCUUGCUGUCACUUAUAGAUGGAUCCGCGCUGCAUUAGCUAGUUGGUAAGGUAACGACUUACCAAGGCAACGAUGCAUAGCCGACCUGAGAGGGUGAUCGGGCACACUGGAACUGAGACACGGUCCAGACUCCUACGGGAGGCAGCAGUAGGGAAUCUUCCGCAAUGGGCGAAAGCCUGACGGAGCAACGCCGCGUGAGUGAUGAAGGUCUUCGGAUCGUAAAACUCUGUUAUUAGGGAAGAACAUAUGUGUAAGUAACUGUGCACAUCUUGACGGUACCUAAUCAGAAAGCCACGGCUAACUACGUG